GUGCUUGCUUCAGCAGCACAUGUACUAAAAUUGGAACCAUACAGAGAAGAUUAGCAUGGCCCCUGCACAAGGAUGACACCCAAAUUUGUGAAGCAUUCCAUAUUUUU
rnacentral:snRNA from 1 species